GACGAACGCUGGCGGCGUGCUUAACACAUGCAAGUCGAACGGAAAGGCCUGCUUUCCCUUGUGGAUUGCGGGUACUCGAGUGGCGAACGGGUGAGUAACACGUGAGUGAUCUGCCCCCAACUUGGGUAUAAGCCUGGGAAACUGGGUCUAAUUCCCGAUAGGACUGCAGGGUGGUGCCUGUGGUGGAAAACGAUUUUCUAGUGGUUGGGGAUGAGCUCGCGGCCUAUCAGCUUGUUGGUGGGGUAAUGGCCUACCAAGGCGGCGACGGGUAGCCGGCCUGGGAGGGUGGACGGCCACAUUGGGACUGAGACACGGCCCAGACUCCUACGGGAGGCAGCAGUGGGGAAUAGUGCACAAUGGGCGGAAGCCUGAUGCAGCGACGCCGCGUGGGGGAUGACGGCCUUCGGGUUGUAAACUCCUUUCGACCGCGAGGAAGCCACCUGGUUGGAAGGGUGGUGACGGUAGUGGUAGAAGAAGCACCGGCUAACUACGUG
rnacentral:rRNA from 1 species